UUUGUUGGAGACUUUCAUUGUCUCUUUCGAUUUUUGUUUUGAUCCCUAACUUUUGCAUGGACCGCUUUGUUUGAAGCUUCAAUCCAUCGGGAUUGCCCCUGUUUUUGCCUAAGUUUCCUUUUAGGGUGUUGGACUUAGCGGGCUUUUUUUUACUCUUUUUUUUUGAACUUGUGACUGCCAAGUCACUGGUCAUUGAAGAACAACCGACAUAAAAUUUGGAUUUGUAUGGUUCCUUCGACACUUCAAGAUGUGUGCAAAGAAUAUCAUGUGAUUGAUCCUUGUAUGGGAUAUUUCAUCUUUGUAAUUUGAAUGUGUAGUCAAAUCAACUGAACACUACCCUGCCCCAGGUUAAGCGUAAGGGUUGUUUAGAUCCAAAAGAAACUCCUACUUCUAGGCUCGAAGUGGU
rnacentral:lncRNA from 1 species